rnacentral:lncRNA from 1 species
UGUGUGUGUGUGUGUGUGUGCAUAUAUGUGUGUGUGUGUGUGUGUGUGUGUGUGUGUGUGUGUUUGUGUGUAGUUCAGUGUGCUUGCAGGUUAAUGUGCGCAUGUGCCUCUACUGUACGUGUGUCUAUAAAGCAGAGUCAGUACUCAGACAGACAGACAGACAGACAGACAGACAGACAGACACCAUGUCUCCCUCCCAGUCCUCCCUACUAGUACUGCUGCUGAUGGUCUCCUGCUCCUGGGCCCCCCGCUCCUUAGGAGGAACCAUGACCUUCAUCUUCAUAGGGACCAACCCAGACGGGACCUACGGGGUGAGACCAAAGCACAAUGAUGAUGCUUCCUAUUAAAGAUGCAAUAUGCAGAAAUCACUCUGUCAUUUCCUGGUUGCUACAAUUGUAAUAGUUUGUCUAAUUUCAGUUUGUGACAAAACAAGCUUGUAUAGCGUAGAUCUAAACUGCUGUGAAAUAUAUUUUCAAUAACCAACAAUAUAGUAUUUUCAGCUUUUUGAAGCUGUUAUACAAAACUGAAAGUAAAAGACACAAAAAGACAGAUCUAUAACUCACAUUUCUACAUAUUGCAGCUUUAAGUGUUUUCUUCAACUGAGAGAAAUUAUAAUUUGUUCUUGUUGUCAUCUUGAAAAAUACAUUCUUCAUAGGGUUGGAAUAUUACUAGUAACUUUCUAAAUGUACCAGUAAACUAACAGAAUGUACCAGUAAACUAUCAGAAUGUACCAGUAAACUACCAACAUUUACCAGUAAACUACCAGCAUUUCGAAAACAUUCAAGGAGUUUUCCUAACGUGAAAUAUAUAAAAUAAUUUUUUGAAAUCCUAUUACAAAUCUAUAAAACAAAGCAGUAAAACAUUAUCCUUGUCACAAUCUUCGUCAUCUGAAGAGGAGAAAUCAUCGGACCAAUAUGCAGCGGGUAUAUUGCUCAUUUUCGAUUUAUUGAAGGUAAACACACUUAAACAAACUAACAACGAUAACAGCCCAGUAAGGUGCCAGACUAUAGUAGGAACAACCACCCACAAAACACAAGAGAAAACAAACCCACUUAAAUAUGGCCUCCAAUUAGAGGCAACGACAACCAGCUGCCUCUAACUGGAGGUCGUUCCCAAAACCCAAACAUAGAAAUAUAAAAACUAGAUAAACACAUAGAAAUAGAAAAUAUAGAACAUAAACCAAAAACCCCGAAACACACAAACCAAACACCCCCUGGCACACCCUGACCAAACUACAAUAACAAAUAACCCCUUUUACUGGUCAGAACGUGACUAUUCUAAAUAUAACCCAUAAAUUUAGUGAAUAUUGUUGCUGAGUGUUUCACCAUGGAAAAUCCUGUAUAUUUCAAUAUUCAAAAUGUCUCAAUAUAUCAAAUCAAAUGUAUUUAUAUAGCCCUUCUUACAUCAGCUGAUAUCUCAAAGUGCUGUACAGAAACCCAGCCUAAAACCCCAAGCAGCAAGCAUUGCAGGUGUAGAAGCACGGUGGCUAGGAAAAACUCCCUAGAAAGGCCAGAACCUAGGAAGAAACCUAGAGAGGAACCAGGCUAUGAGGGUUGGCCAGUCCCCUUCUGGCUGUGCCGGGUGGAGAUUAUAACAGAACAUGGCCAAGAUGUUCAAAUGUUCAGAAAUGACCAGCAGGGUCAAAUAAUAAUAAUCACAGUGGUUGUAGAGGGUGCAACAGGUCAGCACCUCAGGAGUAAAUGUCAGUUGGCUUUUCAUAGCCGAUCAUUGAGAGUAUCUCUACCGCUCCUGCUGUCUCUGUCUUGGUUGAUGUUUGAUGUAAAUGUUUUUGGGCCAAACUGGCGCCAGUCGCAGUUAUGACAAAAAUCAAUAGUUGGUAGUGUUGCAGAGUUAAUUGGUAAAUAUGUCAUUGUUGAUUAGAUGUUUUUUAAUUAAUUGGGCUAUUUUCUAACCACAUGGUCUAUCUAUUAGAAAGUUAUGGUAAACAUGGAAAUAGAUAUAAAGAAUAUGAAAAACAAAUCUGAAAACAUAUAUAAAUUACCAAUGUUUCCAUAGAUUUCCAAAAUGACAUUUGAAAAUUACUGGGGGUUUUGCUAACCUAUUCUUAGCUAAAGAGGCUUGUAAAAUGGACUCUACUGGUAGAAAUGGAACGCACAAUGUUUCCCUGUGGUCUGUGGUGCAUGUUUGCUGCCCUCUAGUGUUUAUUGUCAUGUAUGGCUCUCCUUUUCUCACUACAUAUACCCACUCCUAUUCACUUUGUAUACCCACUCCUAUUCACUACGUAUAGCCACUCCUAUUCACUACUUAUACCCACUCCUAUUCACUACAUAUACCCACUCCUAUUCACUACUUAUACCCACUCCUAUUCACUACUUAUACCCACUCCUAUUCACUACUUAUACCCACUCCUAUUCACUACUUAUACCCACUCCUAUUCACUACAUAUACCCACUCCUAUUCACUACUUAUACCCACUCCUAUUCACCACUUAUACCCACUCCUAUUCACUACAUAUACCCACUCCUAUUCACUACUUAUACCCACUCCUAUUCACUACUUAUACCCACCCCUAUUUACUACUUAUACCGACUCCUAUUCACUACCUAUGCCCACUCCUAUUCACAGCUUAUACCCGCUCCUAUUCACUACGUACACCCACUCCUAUUCACUGCUUAAAUCCUACCCUAUUCGACUACGUAUACCCACUCCUAUUCACUGCUUAUACCCACUCCUAUUCAAGUCUUCUCAGUAUACAAUGCCCCCCCCCCCCCCAUCCACCCCUACGGAUCUAUAAAACUUACUCCACAUUUUCAAAGUGAUAGAACAUUUUUGAAAAUGUUCCACAUUAAUACAAAAACCAUGUCUUCACACCCUGGGGGGCGGCAGGUAUCCUCGUGGUUAGAAUGUAGGGGGGGCAGGUAGCCUAGUGGUUAGAGUGUAGAGGCGGCAGGUAGCCUAGUGGUUAGAGUGUAGGGGGGUAGGUAGUCUAGUGGUUAGAGUGUAGGGGCGGCAGGUAGACUAGUGGUUAGAGUGUAGGGUGGGUAGGUAGCCUAGUGGUUAGAGUGUAGGGGCGGCAGGUAGCCUAGUGGUUAGAGUGUAGAGGCGGCAGGUAGCCUAGUGGUUAGAGUGUAGGGGGGUAGGUAGUCUAGUGGUUAGAGUGUAGGGGCGGCAGGUAGACUAGUGGUUAGAGUGUAGGGUGGGUAGGUAGCCUAGUGGUUAGAGUGUGGGGGGGCAGGUAGCCUAGUGGUUAGAGUGUAGGGGCGGCAGGUAGCCUUGAGGUUAGAGUGUAGGGGAGAGGGCAGCCUAGUGGUUAGAGUGUAGAGGGGUAGGUAGCCUAGUGGUUAGAGUGUAGGGGGUGUAGGUAGCCUAGUGGUUAGAGUGUAGGGGGGGGCGGCAGGUAGCCUAGUGGUUAGAGUGUAGAGGGGUAGGUAGCCUAGUGGUUAGAGUGUAGAGGGGUAGGUAGCCUAGUGGUUAGAGUGUAGGGGGUGUAGGUAGCCUAGUGGUUAGAGUGUAGGGGCGGCAGGUAGCCUAGUGGUUAGAGUGCAGGGGCGGCAGGUAGCCUAGUGGUUAGAGUGUAGGGGCGGUAGGUAGCCUAGUGGUUAGAGUGUAGUGGUGGCAGGUAGCCUAGUGGUUAGAGUGUAGGGGGGUAGGUAGCCUAGUGGUUAGAGUGUAGGGGGGUAGGUAGCCUAGUGGUUAGAGUGUAGGGGGGUAGGUAGCCUAGUGGUUAGAGUGUAGGGGGGUAGGUAGCCUUGUGGUUAGAGCUUUGGGCCAGUAACCGAAAGGUUGCUAGAUCGAAUUCCUGAACUGACAAGAUAAAAAUCUGUCGUUCUACCCCUGAACAAUGCGGUUAUUCCACUGUUCCUAGGCCGUCAUCGUCAAUAAGAAUUUGUUAUUAACUGUCUAGUAAAAUAAAACCCUUGAGAUAAUACUUGGUGGAAGCUCUGUUUACAGUUAUACAUUUUUUCUACCAAGAUUCUACCAACUUGGCACAAAUUUUAGGGUAACACAAAGUGCUCAAGCUCAGUAAAACCAUUCUGGUGUGUUUUUAUUAUGUGUAAAUGUCUCGCUGAACAUAAAACUUUCCCAGGGUUAGAUUUUCAGAAGAUUGAGGUAUUUCCAUCUAACUUUCCUUCUUCAUAUUUAUUUUGAUCCUGACAAACUCCCCAGUUCCUGCCGGUGACAAGCAUACCCAUAACAUGAUGCGGCCACCACAACACUUGAAAAUACAGAGAAUCAAUUACAAAAGACAUUAUUCUAAAGACACAACUGAAUGGUUCACCAAGAGGUUAUGAGUGUUCCUGAUUGGUCCAGUUUCCAUCCUCAUGACUUCAAUCAGCUUGGAAAUUUUAACUAGGCAAGUCAGUUAAGAGCAUAUUCUUAUUUACAAUGACAGCCUAGGAACAGUGGGUUAACUGCCUUGUUCAGGGGCAGAACAACAGUUUUUUAUCUUGGCGGCUCUGGGAUUUGAUCUUGCAACCAUUUGGUUACUAGUCUAACACUCUAACCACUAGGCUACCUGCCACCCCAAUACAAUCGAUACAAUACAAUCCCCGAGCUGACAAGGUAAAAAUCUGUCGUUCUGCCCGUGAACAAGGCAGUUAACCCACUGUUCCUAGGCUGUCAUUGAAAAUAGGACUUUGUCCUUAAUUAAUAACCUGUUGGGGCUAGGGGGUAGCCUUAAUCCCCCAGUUGGGAUUGCUAGCAAGGCGGGAAAUUCAAAACAUCAAAAAUCUAAUAAUUUCAAUUUCUCAAACAAUCAACUAUUUUACACCAUUUAAAAGAUAAACAUCUCCUUAAUCGAACCACAUUGUUCGAUUUUCAAAGAGGCUUUACGCCGAAAGCAUGAAGUUAGAUUACGUUAGGACAGUACAUAGCCCAAAAAGUACAAACAUCCAUUUUCAAUUCAAGGACAGGCGUCACCAAAAGCAGAAAACCAGCUAAAAUUAUGCACUAACCUUUGACAAUCUUCCUCAGAUGACACUCCUAGGACAUUAUGUUAUACAAUACAUGCAUUUUUGUUCCAUCAAGUUCAUAUUUAUAUCCAAAAACAGCAUUUUACAGUGGCAGAAUUUUACGUUCGUUCAAACAUGUCAAACGUUGUUUAGCAUCAAUCUUUAGGGCAAUUUUUAACGUGAAACAUCAGUAAUGUUUCAACCCGACCUCUCCUGUGUCUCCUGUGUCUUGAAAACCGUUUUUGAUAAAUGUCUCGCCUCACAUGCAUGCGCAGGUGCGCGCAAUAAUGAAGUGACGACGUCCCAGGGACGUCAACUUCUCUUCAUUGUCAUCCGGUCUCUGUUCAUCAUUGACGCUUCAAACAACUUUAUAAAGAUCGUUGACAUCUAGUGGAAGCCGUAGGAAGUGCGAAAUGAAUCCUUUGUCACUGUGUGAUCGAAUAUAGUACAGCCACAAAAUUCUCAUUUCCUGGUUGCAUUUUUCUCAGGUUUUUGCCUGCCAUAUGAGUUUUUUUAUACUUACAGACACCAUUCAAACAGUUUUAGAAAAUUCAGAGUGUUUUCUAUCCAAAUCUGUUAAUAAUAUGCAUAUCCUAGCUUCUGAGUUGGUGUAGGAGGCAGUUAAACAUGGGCACAUAUUUUUUUCAAAAUUAUCAAUACUGCCCCCUAGCCCCUAGACUUUUCUACCUAAAUAAAAAAAUAAAAAUUGUAUAUCUAUUUCACAAUUUGAAAUUGAUUUUGCCUGUUGUUGAUAACUAAGUGUUGUUUGAAUUAAUAUUAUCUAUUGUUGAUAACUAAGCGUUGUCCACAAAUGAUUAUGUUGUGCCUAACCAGUCCCUCUUCAAUCAGGCUUUGUUGGAACAAGGUUUGUUCUCUACAGAAGGCUUGUUGUAUCAUUGUAAUCCCUGACAAAGGAUGAAAUGAAUCAGAGUUUAGAAUGUUCUGUACUAUUGAACGUACCAUAAUGAUAAAGGCAUUUAGCUAUAUGAAGAAUGCCUUGCUCCUCCUGGUUCUCUUACCCUCCUUACCAAAGAGAACAUUUGUCUUUGUUCCACACUUGUUAAAGACAGCAGUCUAGAAAUGUGUCUGAAGUGGUGGUUUUAUGAAGUGUGACGUUGCAGGUGGACGUUCUUUACAAGACAGCCUUUACACGUUGUGGUACAUGGUUGUGUACCAGUGAGGACUGUGGGAAUGAGGUUAUGAUAGAGGGUCAGACAGUGGACCAGGAGAUGUCUGGGGACUGGUGUCAGUCAGAAGGAGUCUUUAAUGUUGACUUAUCCAGUAACACAGUCGCCUUUCUCUGCGGUGAGUGUUUCAUUUUUUCUUUUCUAUUCAAAUCUUCAAAAUCAAAAAAAAAUCAAAUUUAUUUUUAUAUAGCCCUUCGUACAUCAGCUGAUAUUCUCAAAGUGCUGUACAGAAACCCAGCCUAAAACCCCAAACAGCAAGCAAAGCAUGUGAAAGAAGCACGGUGGCUAGGAAAAACUCCCUAGGAAAAACUCCCUAGAAAGGCCAAAAACCUAGGAAGAAACCUAGAGAGGAACCAGGCUAUGAGGGGUGGCCAGUCCUCUUCUGGCUGUGCAGGGUGGAUAUUAUAACAGAACAUGGUCAAAAUGUUAAAAUGUUAAAAUGUUCAUAAAUGACCAGCAUGGUCAAAUAAUAAUAAUCAUAGUAGUUGUCGAGGGUGCAACAAGCACGUCCGGUGAACAGGUCAGGGUUCCAUAGCCGCAGGCAGAACAGUUGAAACUGG